CCUCAAUAGAAGUGUGUUAGGUAAGGCUGCCAACAAGCCAAUGGAUAACUCUAAGCUUUUAAGAGGUUUGAUUGAUUCAAUUGUUCAGCACAGCUUUGCUGGUCUGUUGCUUCACAUCAAUAAUUGUCAUCCAUGGCUACGAGCAUGCUGCUUGGGCCUCUCAUCGCCUUGGUCAAUCGGCAGGUCUCCAAUUACCUGUUGCAACAGUACCAAGAGCUGGAUGGUAUGGAGGAGCAGCUCACAAUUCUGGAGCGCAAACUGCCGGCCAUAUUGGAUGUCAUCAUUGAUGCUGAGGAGCAAGGAACUCACCGUCCUGGGGUAAGUGCUUGGCUCAAAGCACUCAAGGCUGUUGCUUACAAAGCUAAUGACAUAUUUGAUGAGUUCAAGUAUGAAGCCCUUCGUCGUGAAGCUAAGAGGAGGGGAAAUCAUGGAAAUCUCAGCACUAGUAUAGUCCUUGCUAACAAUCCUCUAGUGUUCCGUUACAGGAUGAGCAAGAAGCUGCGUAAAAUUGUCAGUUCUAUUGAGGACCUUGUUGCUGAUAUGAAUGCCUUUGGGUUCAGGUAUAGACCACAAAUGCCAACCUCCAAGCAGUGGAGACAGACAGAUUCAAUCAUCAUUGACUCUGAGAAUAUUGUCAGCAGAGAGAAAGAGAAGCAGCAUAUUGUUAAUUUGCUGCUUACCGAUGCCAGCAACAGGAAUCUCAUGGUCCUUCCAAUCAUUGGAAUGGGUGGUUUGGGCAAGACCACUUUUGCUCAGAUAAUUUACAACGAUCCUGAGAUCCAAAAGCAUUUCCAGCUACGGAAGUGGGUGUGUGUCUUGGAUGAUUUUGAUGUUACAAGCAUUGCUAACAAGAUCAGCAUGUCAAUUGAGAAAGAAUGCGAAAAUGCACUAGAGAAGCUCCAGCAGGAAGUCCGUGGAAAGAGGUACCUCCUUAUUUUGGAUGAUGUAUGGAAUUGCGAUGCCGAUAAGUGGGCGAAGCUAAAAUAUUGCCUUCAACAAUAUGGUGGUGUUGGGAGUGCCAUAUUGAUGACAACACGUGAUCAAGGGGUAGCUCAGCUAAUGGGAACAACUAAAGCCCAUCAAUUGGUAAGAAUGGAAAAAGAGGAUUUGCUUGCAAUUUUUGAAAAAAGAGCAUUCCGUUUUGAUGAGCAGAAACCUGAUGAGCUGGUUCAAAUUGGCUGGGAGAUUAUGGACAGAUGUCACGGGUCCCCUUUAGCUGCAAAAGCCUUGGGUUCAAUGUUAAGCACACGGAAAGCUGUAGAAGAAUGGAGGGCCGUAUUAACCAAAAGUAGCAUCUGUGAUGACGAGAAUGGAAUUUUACCUAUACUGAAGCUCAGCUAUGAUGAUCUGCCAUCAUACAUGAAGCAAUGUUUUGCUUUUUGUGCGAUCUUUCCCAAAAACUAUGUGAUUGAUGUGGAAAUGCUGAUAUUGCUCUGGAUGGCGAAUGAUUUUAUCCCAUCUGAAGAAGCAAUUCGCCCAGAAACAAAAGGCAAGCAGAUUUUCAAUGAGCUUGCUUCAAGGUCAUUCUUUCAGGAUGUCAAGGAGGUACCUUUACACAAGGAUGAAAGUGGACAUAGUUACCGAACUAUAUGUAGCAUCCAUGAUCUCAUGCAUGAUGUUGCUGUUUCUGUUAUUGGAAAAGAAUGUUUUACUAUAGCUGAGGGUCACAAUUACAUUGAGUUUUUGCCAAAUACUGUUCGUCAUUUGUUCUUGUGCUCUGAUCGUCCAGAAACCCUCUCAGAUGUUUCACUAAAGCAGAGAUGUCAAGGUAUGCAAACACUUUUGUGCAUUAUGAAUACUAGCAAUUCUUCGUUACAUUAUUUAUCAAAAUGCCAUUCUCUUCGAGCAUUACGCCUCUAUUACCAUAACUUGGGUGGACUUCAGAUAAGAGUGAAGCACUUGAAGCACCUCAGGUUUCUUGAUCUCUCUGGCAAUUGUCAUAUCAAGUCACUUCCUGAAGAAAUAUGCAUUUUGUAUAAUCUACAAACAUUAAAUCUUUCGGGUUGUAUAUCUCUUGGUCACCUUCCUAAGGAUAUUAAAAACAUGAUUGGCCUUCGUCAUCUCUAUACUGAUGGAUGCAUGUCCUUAAAAUCCAUGCCUCCAAACCUUGGGCAUCUAACAUCCCUACAGACACUAACAUAUUUUGUUGUGGGCAAUAAUUCUGGUUGUAGUAGCAUUGGAGAACUAAGGCACCUCAAACUCCAAGGUCAACUCCAGCUAUGUCAUCUACAAAAUGUAACAGAGGCAGAUGUAUCCAUGAGCAGCCAUGGGGAAGGGAAAGACCUAACCCAGCUAUCUUUUGGAUGGAAGGAUGAUCAUAAUGAAGUGAUUGAUUUACAUGAGAAGGUACUAGAUGCUUUUACUCCAAACAGCAGGCUUAAAAUUCUAUCUGUGGAUUCCUACAGAAGUUCCAAUUUUCCAACUUGGGUGACAAACCCCACAAUGAUGCAAGAUCUAAUCAAGCUCCAACUAGUUAGUUGCACAAUGUGCGAGAGCCUUCCGCAAUUGUGGCAAUUGCCAUCUCUUGAAAUUCUUCAUUUGGAAGGGCUGCAAAGUUUGCAAUACCUGUGCUCGGGUGUUGACAAUUCGACAUCUUCAACGUUUCCUAAAUUAAGGGAACUUAUUUUAGUUGAUCUAAAAAGUUUGAAUGGUUGGUGGGAAGUAAAAGGAGGACCUGGGCAAAAGCUAGUGUUUCCCCUUCUAGAGAUUCUAUCAAUUGAUAGUUGCUCUAACUUGGAAAACUUUCCAGAUGCAGUAAUAUUUGGUGAAUCUUCUCAAUUCUUAGAUAAUAAAGGGAACUCCCCAUUUCCAGCUUUAAAAAACCUCAAGUUGCACAAUCUGAAGAGUUUGAAGGCAUGGGGAACACAAGAAAGAUAUCAACCAAUAUUUCCUCAACUUGAGAAUGCUAAUAUUAUGGAGUGCCCGGAGUUGGCAACUCUACCUGAAGCACCAAAGCUGAGAGUAUUAGUAUUUCCCGAAGAUAAAUCAUUGAUGUGGUUAUCCAUAGCAAGAUAUAUGGCAACACUGUCCGAUGUCAGAUUAACAAUUGCAGCUUCUUCCUCACAAGUACAAUGUGCAAUACAACAGGUCAGUGGUACAGAAGAAUUUAGUCAUAAAACUUCUAAUGCAACUAUGGAACUACGGGGAUGUUACUUCUUCUGUAUGGAUUGGGAAUGUUUUGUGAACCUGCAAGAUUUAGUAAUCAACUGCUGCAACGAACUCGUCUAUUGGCCACUGAAACAGCUCCAAUGCUUGGUAUCCUUGAAAAGAUUAACAGUUUAUUCUUGCAAUAAUCUGACUAAAUCUGGUGAUGUUCUAGAAGCGCCAUUAGAAAAAAAUCAGCUACUCCCAUGCUUGGAGUAUAUAGAAAUAAAAGAUUGUCCCAAAUUGGUUGAGGUUCUCAUCCUUCCUUCAUCUCUAAGGGAAAUAUAUAUUGAGAGAUGUGGUAAGCUCGAGUUCAUAUGGGGUCAAAAGGACACUGAAAAUAAGAGUUGGUAUGCUGAAAACAAAGAUGAUUUGAGGUCAGAAUCUUAUAGCAUCCUAGUAUCCUCUGCAGAUGCACCUUUGGCAACAAAUACACAUUUACCUUGUAUGGAGUCUCUAACAGUGAUAAGUUGUCAAAGCUUAGUAGUGCUUCUCAAUUUUCCCCUAUAUCUGAAGGAAAUACACAUUUGGAGUUGCCCUGAGCUUAGAUCUAUAAGGGGAAAGCAGGAUAUAAAAGUCGAAAGUAAAUAUGUUGAGCGUAAUAACGGCAUGGCUAUAUCAGAAUCUAGCAGUGAUCUCAGUGCAUCUAUAACUAUAGAAGAUCAAGGAACAUGGAGAAGCAAAUAUCUCCUGCCAUGCUUAGAAUACCUAAGAAUAGCAUAUUGUGUAAGCUUGGUAGAGGUUCUUGCUCUUCCUUCAUCCAUGAGAACUAUAAUUAUUUCAGAGUGUCCUAAGCUUGAAGUCCUGUCAGGGAAGCUUGAUAAACUUGGGCAACUAGAUAUUCGAUUUUGUGAAAAGCUGAAACUAGUGGAGUCAUACGAAGGAUCCUUCUCAUCAUUGGAAACUGUCUCCAUUGUCGGCUGCGAGAACAUGGCAUCGUUACCAAAUAAACAUUCAAAUACUCCCUGUACAAAAGGGAUUGUUCUCUUCAGAGGUACAAAUAUAUGGAGAUAUCUACUCGGUACUGUCUCAAUUUUCAUUUUCCCUCCAAAUGUGGACCAUGAUGUGGACUAUGGAAAACCAAGAACAUAAUCUUUCUUCUGCUGAAUUCUUCAAAUUUGUCUAGGUAAAUGACGUUGACAUAUAUAAGCAUGUGGCUAUGGAAUUGCUGCCCAUAAGAGAAGUUCACAGGACAGCAGCGCAAUAAUGAUUUUUGCAAAGCCGUCCCAGGAAAAAAAAUUGAAAAAAAAGCAUGGCCAACGAGCAAGAAUAGGUCCAUAACUAGCAUGGCCAUAGUGGAUCAAUAAUUGCAGUUGAUGAGGAAAGAAUCAUUGCACAGUUGUGCUUAUCUGGAAGGGUCCCAACUGUGACAGCACAAAGAUAUAGACAAGCAAGUCAAGACCAGUCCAGUCCUAACUUAGUAUUAUAGUUAUUAAUUUUAGGUUUGUAAUUAUUGGAAUUGGCCUGUACUCUAAAAGUUUUUACUAUAUCACGAGGAAACUAUAAUUGACUAAUUUCGAAUGUUGGAAUUAUUUAAUGGUCAGGAAAAACGACCAAAAACUAGUAUGUA